AUCUGGAGAGGUUUCCUGGGAGACAGGAAGGUGUAAUGAGAGUAGUUUAGUGCUUAAUCGGGGUUUCUCGAGCGGCAUCUCGAACUACUCCAAUUAACUUCGCGCGCCAACCCCGAUUGCCGUUAGAUUCAAGGGUAAAUCCGUGUGAUAUUGAUUAAAUUUCGAAUGGGCAACGAAGGAGUCAGCCAACUUUUCUUUAAUACUCGUUGGCGGUAGUGAAGUGUCGUUUGGAUAAUUAAUCAGUGAAAACGUCGACGGACGUUCGAUGAAGCUUCUAUCCCGUGGAGUGGGGGAUUGCGGUUUAAUCGAUCAACGAAAAGCGAAUUAAUCUAAGUGAAAUUGCACCUAUGAAUCGUUGCAUCGAAUUUAGAUAACCGGUGGCAUUCUCGAUUAAACGGGAUGUCAAUGACGCGCGAAGUGUUAAUUAGGCACUGCUGCUCUCUGGUGGUGGUUUUGGCCGAAUAUCAUUUCGGAUUGAAUUGAAUUAUAUUCGUUGCGGGAUUACGCGCUUUGGAAAUUGAUAUUUUCGAACAAAAAGAGGAGUGUGGUUACGUUUGAAGUAAAAAGUAUUUGUGCUUCAAUGGUGGCUUUCAGACAUCAGUCGGUUUGACGCGAUAAAAAAUAAAAUAUCGUUUCGCGAAUAGAUUUCUAACCUCUUUACGUUCUAACCUCUAAUCUUAUAAAGUGGUGGUAUAAUAUACUAUUGUAUGAUUAGAUUUCUUAGAUCUCAAAUUAGAUCGUGAUAUCUAUAUUUUCGGCAUUGGUUCGAAUUUGACAGUGGUGGAAAUAAAAAUAUUAUUUUCAAAGUUUUUUUUCAGUUUUGUGAAGCGUGGAAUGAAAUUAGUUCGAACGAAGACGAGUUUGAUUUUUCGUUAUUAAAUAACGAAUUUAUUUCUAUUCGUUAAGAAAUUGACGAUAGAGAAUAGCGAUGAAAAUAGAGAUGUAAAAUAAGAAAGAAAGGUGAAAAACUUCAAACGACAUUUUAUCGCUAUAUACUUGUCCUGACAAAUCGAGGAUGUAUCUUGAUUCUACCGAUGGUUGGAAUAAUUAAUUCAAGUCACAACUACCAACAUUUUCAAUUUGGGAUUUUUUAAAUCUAUUGAAUCAAACGAUACGAAGUUUCGUCGAACACAAUUGAUGAAUUGAAUGCGUUCAAGAUACAUUUAAUAAAUUAGAGAAAGAUACUCUUGAUAACAUUACAAACGUGUAUGGAAUUAAUUAUGUCGACAGGAGGAGGAAAUUCCUAUAAAAUUCCUCAUAUAAAUAAGAUUUCUUUUUCGCAUAAAUGUAUACCAUAUUUUCGGACAAAGGAAGUAUAAGAUAACGAAGAAAUUAUUGAGAAAACAAAAUGUUAAUGAAUAUUAUUCGUAUAUAAAUUUGGAUGAAUAAUAAAUAUUCAU